rnacentral:misc_RNA from 1 species
GAUGAAGUUGGUUGUGUAUAUUUAUGGUGAUUUAGAUUACUGAACUGAACAUUGAAACCAUUUUGCAUGUUGGUUUUCCUGACGAAUGAAUUUUGAUUAACCAUAUGAGGCGGUGGCUUUGCAAUUCCAGCUCCGGACAUAACUCUGUACUUACUAUCGUAUAAAGACCUUUUGACUUGGUCAGAGAGAACCAUAUUUGCUUCCACAAUUAGCUUGAAA